CUAUCACUCCCCACCCUGUUUUUCGUCCCCACGCGCGGGCACCGCUCUUCCACGUUAGCUACAGCGUUUUCCUCUCUGUUUUUCCUCCAACGACGGGGGCGAGUUGCGUUUGCUGGAGCGCUCCGGUCGAUGGCGCCUAGUGUCCGCGGAUGUAUGCUUUGGGCGGGGGUUUUUUUCCAUGCGAGGUUCAGAGGUCUCGACUACUUCUUGUUUCUUUUGGCCUUGUCGGCAGCCGCUUUUUCUGCCUCUGCCUUCGCUUUCCGCGCGGCGGCGCGUGCUUUUUCGCCUGUUGCAACGAAAUCAAAUUCCCGAAAUUGGAUCCACUCUUCAGGCCAGCAGUAAGGAAGUCGCGAGAGAACUCCAACCAUUUCUGCGGGCUGAACAGGCGCGUCCGGAAGACGUGCGACUCGCUGUUCCAGGAAGACGUGGUUCACAGCGGCUUCUAGAGCGCCUCCUGAGUAGCCGUCGCUCAUCUGGGAAAGGCGCAAAAAACUCACGCGACCGGGGUAAAAGAAUGGUGCAUCGGCGAAGUCUGGGCAAAACUCCAAACGGAACGAACCGCGAGGGUUGAGGAUGAUGCUCUAUGGCGAGAGGUACUGCCUCCUCAAUCUGUGCACCUGCGUAUGCAUGCACACGACGAUGCAGCCUAGCUCCUACGAGGUGCGAUGAAGCGCAGGUUGGCGUGUAUCUCUGUGCAACCCUACGAUUCUGUAUUUGCAUACACAUAUGUGUGUCGUUGUGCCUCCAAAUUACCGGAUAUGCACACAUAUCAUGAUACACAUGAAUACACGUCUGUUCGUGGAUUUGUGUCUCUACAGCAGAGAUAUCCACAUCUUUAUGUGCACAGAUUCACGGAGAACCCGCGGGCGCAACUGUGCUGGCUCUUUCGGACCUCCGCCAAUGUCGAGAGGUUGGCGAGCCCAAGCGUCUCGAUUCGCGCGUGUUUCUUCUUGAGCAGGGAUUCCCAAAUCAUUUUUCUGGUUUCGUAGUUGGGAAAAUUUAGCCACAGUUUGUGGUCGAAGAAAUCAGUCAUGCUCUUCUGGUCUAGACGGUCGGCGAACGGUCGCGAAGUGCACCCAAUGACGAGAAGACGAUCUGAGGCACUUAGGGGACCGCCGGCCUUCUUCACCUGGAAAAUGCGCACACGAGGCAUUCCUGCACAUCGAUACAUCUCUCUACGGAUACCUACAGAUAUUCUCUAUUGCUGUGUAUAUACGUAGCAUCAUGGGCGUCAACACAAGCACGUGUGGCUGUACGUGGAGUUCCGUACAAGCGUGGUAAGGACUGCGUCGGCAGACCCCCCCCCUAGGCACGAGGCAUUCGUAGACCAUACGAGAGCGACCGAAGCGCACAACUGCAUGCACGGACCUUGGGGCGGGUAAUCACAGCCAGGAGACAAGCCAGUAAAAAAGAUAGAUGGACGCCCACAGGAGGGCGUCUCUAGAAAAUGGAGAGAUGCGUUUGGAGAUGUGCAUGCACACAUCGUCCUCACUAAGUUUAGAUGACCCUUGAGUUGAUCCCUUAUCCUCCAAGCACUCGACUGUGUCUGUUCUCCAGCACCCUUCUUCUUUCCACCUUUCUUUGACAUGAACACUUGGUCGACGUUAUCGAUGUAGAUCACCGCCGGGGCGUGCUGCUGUGCACAGAGAAAUGUUUUGUGAAUCAUCAAGGAGGCGCCUGUCUUUGGAUGCUUGUAAAGAUUCUCAAUCACAUCGGGCGAGAGAUCGAAGAACAUUGCCCCCGCUUCAGUUGCAAUGAUGCGAGAGAUGAGAGACUUCCCCGAUCCUGAAGGAAAAAGAACGGCGUUCCAGAAAACGCCAUGGAUUCACGCGAGAAAUCCCUUUGACAGCAAUACCUACUUCAACGUACACUUUUACGUUAGUAUAUAAAUACAGAUGUUUAUAUACACUUUUAGGGGAGGUUUAGUUGUAUGUUUUUGUUUCUGUUUUGAGUUUUUGGGUAGUCUCUUGGCGUUGCACCUGUCCAUCCAGAGUGAUGUUGGCAGAACACGGAAAAUCCGGCUUCCGAAGACAUCCAUUUCGGUCCCAAUUACAUAUAUAUAUAUAUAUAUAUACUGAUAAAUACUUUCGUAUAUAUAUAUAUAUAUAUAUAUAUAUACUUGUGCGUGUGUACGGGUGUACGUGAAAUGAAGCGACGGAGAGAGAAGCGACAGCGAGGCGAAGGCAAGUGGCGAGAGCGUCUCCUUUGCAUUGAGGGAUGGUGUUUUUGCGAGUGUACCUGGGGGGCCAUAGAGGAGGAGAGAUCUGGCUGGGAAGGGGGUUUUCUCGCGAAUGCUUGUGGACGCCAGCGGGAGAAUAAUUUGUUCAACGAGAAACUGUUUGAUUUGCCAGGCCGUCGGAGCAGGAAGGAACUCGUCAGUAGGAGUCGGACACACGGGGAAGUUGCCGAUAAAGUCGUCUAGCUUGGCAGGCUCGACGCCCCUCAGGAUUCCGUCUUUGACGAGAUCGGGAAAAAUGUCUUCCAACGGCCCCGCAAGAUUCGCCGCAUUGCAGCAUUUGGUCUUCGCCGUUCCGCCCUUCUUCCCAGCCUUCUUUCCGCCCGUCUUUUGCCCCUUUUUCCUCGGCUUCUCCUUCACCAAGUCAAACUGUUGCCGUAGCCGAACCAGUUCUUGCUUUAGCAGUUCGUCCACGGCGACCGUAACUUCGCUUUCAACCUGAGGAAGCAAUUGAUUCCGCGUCAGCGUUUUGUCAGGCUCUUGCGCCGCGUCCACCCUCCACGGAAACUCGGCCCACGUCGCUUCGAAUUCCUUCGCGAGUUCUCCCAGCUCGUCCGUGAUCGUCGGCAGAGUUUCUUCGCUUGGCUCUACCGCUGCCGGCUUCUUUUCCCUGGCCGAUUCCGGCUCUAAAACCACAAAACAACAAAGCCGAGACAGCAGGCGUAGACUCAGGGGAGGCCGAAAACAGGAAACGGACUCCGAGCCUUUGGUGUUUCUCCUGCUUCUCGCUACGUUUUUGUCUUUGCUGCUGAUUUGUGGUGCACACAUGUCUUGACCUCGACUUAGAGAACGGAACUUUAAUGCAUGCGUAUAUCAGUAUAUAUAUAUAUAUAUGUAUAUAUGUAUAUGAGAAUGUAAGUAUCAGAGAAGCUGAGAUCGCCUCGAGGACAGCCUGGCUUUGCUACGCGUUUUCUUACUUUUUGACGGCUCAGCUUUUCGUUUUUCUUUUGCUUCUGGUUUCUUAUCGGCCCCUGGUAAACCGAUCUUGUAAGGCCGGCCAUCCGGCGGGGGAGGCGGAACGCCGUCAAAGUCCUUCGUGCGAUCGGCAAACGAAGAAGGAAAAGAACCAACUUGUCGCCGAAAUUCCAGCAUCCAGUCUCGCCCUUCCGCAAACUUUUGGAACUAAACAAGAGAAGAACAGGAAGCGACAAGCAUAGAAAUAGGAGAGGAAAAUGUGAAGAGGGACACAAUCCAGUACUUUUCGCGUCGAAACGAAGGAGACACGUCAAUCUCCAAGCCUCGACUCCACCCCCUCAACGGUCGUUUGCUUCCGAUGAAACCCAUGAGACCCUUCGACAGUUCAACCGCUACUGCUGGGACUGUAUAUUAUGUACUUACGGUAGUACUAUCGAGCCUCUUCUUCCAAAUAGAUUUCAUGGAAAACCUAGAAUUCGCAUGUGUGAUUGACAGUUAGCCGCUAAUAUACAAUCAUCCAAGAUAUAUUUAUCUAUCGCAGGUUCAGCGUGCAAACACGCAAAUGACUGAGAAGAAAACGUCGCGGGUCUCUGCGUUUUCCUUCCACAAACAUCCGCCGAUUUUUCGUUUGCAAGAAAGAAGCGUCGACGACACUAACAGGCCCCGGCCUCGCGUCCGUGAACCGUUCUCGCUUGUGUCGUGUAUUCAGACGAACGGUUUUUUUUCUGCUAGUAGGGCAACUCCGUUAGAGACGGCGGGAGGGCCCGGGAAUGGGGAAACUGGCGUUUUCCUUGUGUGUCGUGUAGGCCUUUUCGGACGUCUGAGAUGCUUGUUGCACCACUGCUUUUUUUUCUGCGAACGGUUCAGCGGUUCUCCUUACUUUCAACUCCGAUCCAACGUUCUCACGUAGCCACUCGAGUUCCGUGACGAGGGAGGCGUGGUACGCUUUUCCGGCUUCUCUUUGGAAGAGCUUUCUUGCGGCAAACACUUGCUCGAGAAGGCGUUCUUCGUC
rnacentral:lncRNA from 1 species